CAGCCCGCGCAGAUCCUGGAUUUCUACCCUGCCUUCUAAGCAGCAGGUCGGGGGUUCGAGUCCCUCCGGGCAGGCCA
rnacentral:tRNA from 1 species